rnacentral:rRNA from 1 species
GAUGAACGCUAGCGGCAGGCUUAACACAUGCAAGUCGAAGGGCAGCAUAAAUAGUAGCAAUACUAUUGGUGGCGACCGGCGGACGGGUGCGUGACGCGUAUACAACCUUCCCUAAACAGGGGGAUAAUCUGGAGAAAUUCGGUCUAAUACCCCAUAACAUCAGAGCAGGCAUCUGUUUUGGUUAAAACUUCCGGAGGUUUAGGAUGGGUAUGCGUAGCAUUAGCUAGUUGGUGAGGUAACGGCUCACCAAGGCGACGAUGCUUAGGGGGACUGAGAGGUUAACCCCCCACACUGGUACUGAGACACGGACCAGACUCCUACGGGAGGCAGCAGUGAGGAAUAUUGGUCAAUGGGCGGAAGCCUGAACCAGCCAUGCCGCGUGCAGGAUGACGGCUCUAUGAGUUGUAGACUGCUUUUGUACGAGGGUAAAGUGGGCUACGUGUAGCCUUUUGAAAGUAUCGUACGAAUAAGGAUCGGCUAACUCCGUGCCAGCCGCCGCAGUAA